rnacentral:lncRNA from 1 species
AACAUAAUCAGGAGAGCUCAAGGCCUCUCGGGCUACACCCAAAUGCGGAGAAAAAUAAGAAGACACAUAAAAAUAAGUAGAGUCUGGAUUGAAUAGAACUGAUGCCUCUCUGCUACUAACCAAAAUAAUACCCGUGAUAAAAGAAUCAGAGGCGACAGCCUCGGCACGAUCAGGAAUGUCAUAAAAUAUGGAUCGGCCCCUGCCUCGAGGGAGACCUCC